AAUGGGGGCAACCCUGAUCCAGCCAUGCCGCGUGAGUGAAGAAGGCCUUAGGGUUGUAAAGCUCUUUCGCUAGGGAAGAUAAUGACGGUACCUAGUAAAGAAGUCCCGGCUAACUCCGUGCCAGCAGCCGCGGUAAUACGGAGGGGACUAGCGUUGUUCGGAAUUACUGGGCGUAAAGAGUACGUAGGCGGUUUAUCAAGUUGGGUGUGAAAGCCCGGGGCUCAACCCCGGAACUGCACUCAAAACUGGUAGACUAGAGAUCGGAAGAGGUAAGUGGAACUCCCAGUGUAGAGGUGAAAUUCGUAGAUAUUGGGAAGAACACCAGUGGCGAAGGCGGCUUACUGGUCCGACACUGACGCUGAGGUACGAAAGCGUGGGGAGCAAACAGGAUU
rnacentral:rRNA from 1 species